AACGGCCAUACCAUGCUGAUUAUACCGGUUCUCGUUAGAUCACCGAAGUCAAGCAUCAUUGGGCGCGGUCAGUACUUGGGUGGGUGACCACUUGGGAACACCGCGUGCCGUU
rnacentral:rRNA from 1 species